AUCUGCUGUAGCGAAUACGAAAUUUCUUUCUUCUAAGGUAGCUUAUUCAUCAGAACUGCGCAGCAUGUCAAGUGCGGGCAGAGGUGUCAUUGCGCGGAUGUGGAGAAAUUUUCUGUCAUCCAUUACUACAAAAGCGAGUCCUCACAGCGAGAUCCCAGCCGAGGAAAGCGAAAGCCGAGGCGCUGGUUCGAGCCGCGCACGAAGGACAACUUCAGCGCGGACAUGCCCCCCGAGUGGGAAGCUUGGCUGCGAGGUCGACGUUCCUCACCUCCAACUCAAGAGGAAAUUUCCCACAAUGAAGCCAUUAAGAAAUUAAAGCAACAAAGAGCAGCACUUGCUGAAAGGAAUGCAAUAGAGGAACACAAAAGGAGAGGUGCUGACCAUCCACAGUUACCCAGUGAGUAUCAAUGGCUGGCAUUAAGCAAUUGAUGACAACAGAGGUUUACACGUGC